UACGAGGGGUGCAAGCGUUGUUCGGAAUCACUGGGCGUAAAGGGAGCGUAGGCGGAAGUUCAAGCGGAUUGUACAAUCCCGGGGCCCAACCCCGGACCUGCAGUCCGAACUGGACUUCUUGGAUAGUUCAGGGGCAGGCGGAAUUCCUGGUGUAGCGGUGGAAUGCGUAGAGAUCAGGAAGAACACCGAUGGCGAAGGCAGCCUGCUGGGGACUCAUCGACGCUGAGGCUCGAAAGCGCGGGUAGCAAAC
rnacentral:rRNA from 1 species